rnacentral:lncRNA from 1 species
ACCUUUAAAGAAAUUUGAUAGAAAUCCAAAAGAAAUCCACAAAAAUCUUUAAAAAAAUUUAAAGAAAUUCUAAAGAAAUCCUAAAGAAAUCCUAAAGAAUUCUUAAAUCCUAAUUAAUCCUAAAUAGAUCCUAAAUCCUAAAUCAACCAUAAUUAUAUUCUAAAUCUUAAAUCAAAUCCUAAUCAAAUCUUAAAUCCUAAAUCAAAUCCUGAUCAAUUCCUAAAUAAAUCCUAAAUGAAGCUUAAUUGGUUUAAAUUAAUCUUAAUUAGAUCCUUAAUUCUAAAUCAAUCCCAAUUAAAAUCUAAAUCUAAAUCAAAUCUUAAUUAAAUCUUAAAU